UAACACUGCCGAUAUUUUCAUCGAUUGUUUCGUGAAAAUUGAUUUCUUAUUGCGUAAAUUCAAAGUAUCGGAGUUAUUCAAAAAUUUUAUUCAAUAACCUGCGUUUUACAGCAGCUGUAGCAGGAUCAUUUGUGUGUCCGUCCACGUUCGCUGGUGAGGGUAUUUUCCCCACUGCAGCCUUUGGUUUGGUCAGGUGGAGAAUUUGCAUUCUUACAAGUCAGGAUCAUUUGUGUGUCCGCCCACCAAAUGUGAUUCAAUUUAAGAUAUUGAGCACGUAAUUUUUAAAUGCAACAAA